rnacentral:rRNA from 1 species
CAUGCAAGUAGCAACGAGAAAGUUUCCUUCGGGAGAUGAGUACAGUGGCGAACUGGUUAGUAACAGGUGGGAAAUGUACCCCUUGGCUUGGGAUAACUCCUGGAAACAGGAGCUAAUACCAGAUGUGACUCACGGGUCUUCGGUCCUGUGGGUUAAAGAUGCUUCUUUUAUUAGUGGUGUCACCAAGAGAUCGUCCCGCCCCUGAUUAGCUUGACGGGGGGGUAAUGGCCUACCGUGGCGACAAUCAGUAGCUGGUCUGAGAGGAUGGUCAGCAACACUGGGACUGAGAUACGGCCCAGACUCCUACGGGAGGCAGCAGUCUAGAGGCUUCGGCAAUGGACGAAAGUCUGACCGAGCGACGCCGCGUGUGUGAUGAAGGCCUUCGGGUCGUAAAGCACUGUCAGCAGGGAAGAAGGUCUUGGUGGUGUCCCUCCAAGAUUUGACGGUACCUGCAGAGGAAGCUCCGGCUAACUCCGUGCCAGCAGCCGCGGUAAUACGGAGGGAGCAAGCGUUAUUCGGAUUUAUUGGGCGUAAAGCGCGUGUAGGCGGUGCGCUAAGUUGGACGUGAAAUCUCCCGGCCUAACUGGGAGGGGCCCUACAAUACUGGUGCACUUGAGGGCAGGAGAGGGAAGUGGAAUUCCCGGUGUAGCGGUGGAAUGCGUAGAUAUCGGGAGGAACACCCGUGGCGAAGGCGGCUUCCUGGUCUGUUCCUGACGCUGAGACGCGAAAGCUAGGGGAGCAAACGGGAUUAGAUACCCCGGUAGUCCUAGCUGUAAACGAUGGAUACUAGGUGUUGGUGGUAUUGACCCCAUCAGUGCCGUAGCUAACGCGUUAAGUAUCCCGCCUGGGGAGUACGACCGCAAGGUUAAAACUCAAAGGAAUUGACGGGGGCCCGCACAAGCAGCGGAGCGUGUGGUUUAAUUCGAUGCAACACGAAGAACCUUACCUGGGUUUGACAUGCUGGUGGUAGUGAAGCGAAAGCGGAACGACCUUCGGGGAGUCAGCACAGGUGCUGCAUGGCUAUCGUCAGCUCGUGCCGUGAGGUGUUGGGUUAAGUCCCGCAACGAGCGCAACCCUUGUCGCUAGUUAAAUAUCUCUAGCGAGACUGCCGGGAUACACCCGGAGGAAGGUGGGGAUGACGUCAAGUCCGCAUGGCCUUUAUGUCCAGGGCUACACACACGCUACAAUGGCCGGCACAGAGGGUUGCCAAGCCGUGAGGCGGAGCUAAUCUCACAAAGCCGGUCUCAGUUCGGAUUGAAGGCUGCAACUCGCCUUCAUGAAGCUGGAGUUGCUAGUAACCGCAGGUCAGCUAUACUGCGGUGAAUACGUUCCCCGGGCCUUGUACACACCGCCCGUCACGUCAUGGAAGCUGGCAACACCUGAAGACCAGUGAGC